GAUGAACGCUGGCGGCGUGCCUAAUACAUGCAAGUCGAGCGAACAGACGAGGAGCUUGCUCCUUGGACGUUAGCGGCGGACGGGUGAGUAACACGUGGAUAACCUACCUAUAAGACUGGGAUAACUUCGGGAAACCGGAGCUAAUACCGGAUAACAUGUUGAACCGUAUGGUUCAACAGUGAAAGACGGUCUUGCUGUCACUUAUAGAUGGAUCCGCGCCGCAUUAGCUAGUUGGUAAGGUAACGGCUUACCAAGGCAACGAUGCGUAGCCGACCUGAGAGGGUGAUCGGCCACACUGGAACUGAGACACGAUCCAGACUCCUACGGGACGCAGCAGUAGGGAAUCUUCCGCAAUGGGCGAAAGCCUGACGGAGCAACGCCGCGUGAGUGAAGAAGGUCUUCGGAUCGUAAAACUCUGUUAUUAGGGAAGAACAAAUGUGUAAGUAACUAUGCACGUCUUGACGGUACCUAAUCAGAAAGCCACGGCUAACUACGUG
rnacentral:rRNA from 1 species